AGUGAACGCUGGCGGUAGGCCUAACACAUGCAAGUCGAACGGCAGCACAGUAAGAGCUUGCUCUUACGGGUGGCGAGUGGCGGACGGGUGAGGAAUACAUCGGAGUCUACUUUUUCGUGGGGGAUAACGUAGGGAAACUUACGCUAAUACCGCAUACGACCUACGGGUGAAAGCAGGGGAUCUUCGGACCUUGCGCGAUUGAAUGAGCCGAUGUCGGAUUAGCUAGUUGGCGGGGUAAAGGCCCACCAAGGCGACGAUCCGUAGCUGGUCUGAGAGGAUGAUCAGCCACACUGGAACUGAGACACGGUCCAGACUCCUACGGGAGGCAGCAGUGGGGAAUAUUGGACAAUGGGCGCAAGCCUGAUCCGGCCAUACCGCGUGGGUGAAGAAGGCCUUCGGGUUGUAAAGCCCUUUUGUUGGGAAAGAAAAGCAGCAGGUUAAUACCCCGCUGUUCUGACGGUACCCAAAGAAUAAGCACCGGCUAACUUCGUG
rnacentral:rRNA from 1 species